AAUGAACGCUGGCGGCAGGCCUAAAACAUGCAAGUCGAACGCUGUAGCAAUACAGAGUGGCGCACGGGUGCGUAACACGUGGGAAUAUGCCUUUUGGUACGGAAUAGCUCAGGGAAACUGGAAAUAAUACCGUAUGGUACAUUCGGGGUCAAGAUUUAGCGGCAAAAGAUUAGCCCGCGCUGGAUUAGCUAGGUGGUGAGGUAAUGGCUCACCAAGGCAACGAUCCAUAGCGGGUCUGAGAGGACGAUCAGCCACACUGGGACUGGGACACGGCCCAGACUCCUACGGGAGGCAGCAGUUAGGAAUAUUGGACAAUGGGGGCAACCCUGAUCCAGCCAUGCCGCGUGAACGAUGAAGGCCUUCGGGUUGUAAAGUUUUUUAGCCGACGAUUAUAAGGACUGUAGUCGGAGAAUAAGCCCCGGCUAACUUCGUGCCAGCAGCCGCAGUAA
rnacentral:rRNA from 1 species